GCUGACGGAACGGGCGCCACCGACCCGUCUAGAAACACGGACCAAGGAGUCUGACACGUGUGCGAGUACCCGGGUGUGGAAUGCCCGCGUGCGGAAUGAAAGUGAAGGGCAUGCCCUGCCAACCGACCUUGAGCUGCUGCGAAGGGUUUGAGUGGAGCACGUGUGUCGGGACCCGAAAGAUGGUGAACUAUGCCUGAGGAGG
rnacentral:rRNA from 1 species